ACAGGCGCUCUUUGGGCACACUGCUCAACUAGGUCCUAAAGCUGAGACGUAAACAGCAGCGUUGUUAGCAACAUGAUGGCGGCGCUCUCCAGUACGCAGGUGCUCUCUCUCUAUCGGAUGAUGUUGAGAGAAAGCAGAAACUUCCCGUCGUACAAUUACAGAACCUAUGCCCUCCGGCGGGUGCGUGAUGCCUUCAGGGCCAACAAGCAAGUAGAUGACCCCAAAACUGUGGAGAGGCUGGUUUUGGAGGGCCGGCAGUCACUGGCACUGAUACAAAGACAGGUGGCCAUCGGGCACAUGUUCAAGACCCAGAAGACAGUGGUUGAGUAGCAGCAUGCAGGAGAGAGAUGAGGACGUGACAUCACCGCCAAUCAACCAACCGCCACAUGCUAUCUCUGAGAUGCGGUACACCAGCGUGACGAUGGCGGCGACCACGGCUGGGAUGAACCAGUUCGGCCACCAGCUGCAAGGACAAUUCAUGCGCAUGUGAGUAUCAGCGUACGUUUGCUUUGUUGUUUGUGUGUGUACCUUUGUUCAUCCCUCAAGGUGGUCACCAGACUUUCCUGGAAAACAAACACAUCAUAAUCUUUAUGAAGCCACCACUGAAAGUGGUCUCGACUGUAAGUGAACUCACGGAGGGCUUGGCCAGCUUCUCUCUGUCGUCCUGCACAAAGAAGCAAGCAAACAAACAAAACGCUGAGUCAUGUUUGUCUACUCAAUGCAGACGCCAUCUUUGUUUUUUUUAAAUCCUGACUAAAUACUAUGGAAAAGAAGGUGGUCAGACCGGAUGCAGCUCGCCAAUCACCAUCUGACUGGCCACUUCCCGCGCAUCGCUUGAGUGUCCCACGUCCUCAAAGCUCUCAGUGGCAUCUCCACCCGCCUGCUCCCUCAGGACCUCCUCCCCACCAGGGUGCUGGAGACAAGGGUUGGACAUUGAACGUGUCAUAAAAUGAGUUUUGAUAAGAGGGAAAGCAAACAUGUACAUAAUUAUUGUCAACACUUGGAUAUUUUAACGCUGCUGACUUGACCGCCGGUGGCCUUCACACUGCAUCCACCAUCAGCGUCCUUCGGCGCAACCUUGACAACAGUCCAAAAUGUUUACUGAAGGACAUCUAGAACAUUUGAGUGGACGUCAUCCCCCCCUCUUUUCACAACUUUUACACAACAUUACCAUUACUUUUGGCUUCUGGCAACUUAGCAUGGACAACUGUGCCCUUAAGUGAUUCAGUUGAGUUUCUAAUUUACUUAUUGCUCAGCCCUUCUGUCCAUAUCAACAGCAAGCAUGUAUCUACCCCCUACACUUCCGGUGCAAAGGCCAUGUGACGUGAAGGGGUCUCAUGUGUGUCCUCACCUCCUCUAGGAACUUGGUGACAUCGUAGACUUUGUGGUGGAUGACGAUCCAAGUAGACUUAAACGUGUUUUGCUCCUCGAUCUCCGCCAGUCUGAAAUAUUUCACUCCAUCAGGGCUCUUUUCCUCCUUGUUCGCCAUCUUUUGUUUUGCAGGCACCAACCAGACACGUCGCAGUAAAGGAAAGAUUAAAAACUUUUACUUAAUCACGACUUUUACCUCCCCACAAUCAGCGACAUUUAACCUACUUGCUAUCAACAAAUAAGCAUGGUUUUAGAGUCGACUUUUAUCGUACUUAAACUCCGGUUUACACUUUCAAAUUAAACUCAACCAGCUCAACCAACCUUACUUGGACGUUUAUUGUGAAAUUGUAUUUCCGGUAAGGUGGUAUCUUACCUCGUUCGUGUCACAAUAAUUCCAAAGUUUAUCGCAAUGUUUUUAGUACCGCCCUCAAACGUUCCUAUUGGAUGCUGUCUUUCAGUCGCGUGUGCGAUUAGACGUGCAAUUUGUCAAUCAUUCAAGGUAUGGGGGAAGGGGCGUGGCGAGGUGCAAUAGUACUAAGGCACCGUUGUCACGCAAGUCACGUAAACCUGUGAAAUAACUUGUGUUGUCAUUUGUAACUAUUACCAAUUCCCACCGAAUUCGUCAAAUUGAUGAGUUUUCCCACAAAAUCAUUUUGUCUUUGAAGAUUCAUAUUCAUUUCCAUAAAGAUUGUAGACAUAUCUGGAAAUGUAUUUUUAAUCAAUGUAAAGCUGUUCAGUGGAUAUUUUAUAUGUGUAGGAAUGGAAACUGAUCAUUUAGUUUCUUAUUAGGAGUGAAUCUUUCUCUUCUCUGCAUUUUCUCUCUCGUUUUCUUUUCAUUUCCCUCACACUUGAUUGACGACGUGUUGGUUGUGGCUUGCGAGGAGCCAGCCUGUAACGCGGUCCACAUGUUUGACAUUAAGAAGAUGACAUGAACUUGAGGACGAAGCAGACCAGACUGAUGAAGCUCUGCUGGGAGAGUAAUGGAGGGAGACCACUGAGGAGAAGAUUUAAUUGCUUGCCUCGUUCUUCUUCCUCCACUUUUCCUGCAGUCACCCACUGACCGAUGCACUUUUCUUCCAACACUUCCCACUUCCCAAUUCAUCCCACACUUUUAUUUUCCUCUUGCCUGUGCGAGCGUAAAAAACAUCAAAGGACAUAAAGACAAUACUUGUCUCAGCAAAUAAGUUAUUUUGUGUUUACUCGCACAAAUAGUAGCAUGUAAACAUG